rnacentral:rRNA from 1 species
GAUGAACGCUGGCGGCGUGCCUAAUACAUGCAAGUCGAGCGAAUGGAUUAAGAGCUUGCUCUUAUGAAGUUAGCGGCGGACGGGUGAGUAACACGUGGGUAACCUGCCCAUAAGACUGGGAUAACUCCGGGAAACCGGGGCUAAUACCGGAUGACAUUUUGAACCGCAUGGUUCGAAAUUGAAAGGCGGCUUCGGCUGUCACUUAUGGAUGGACCCGCGUCGCAUUAGCUAGUUGGUGAGGUAACGGCUCACCAAGGCAACGAUGCGUAGCCGACCUGAGAGGGUGAUCGGCCCAACUGGGACUGAGACACGGCCCAGACUCCUACGGGAGGCAGCAGUAGGGAAUCUUCCGCAAUGGGCGAAAGUCUGACGGAGCAACGCCGCGUGAGUGAUGAAGGCUUUCGGGUCGUAAAACUCUGUUGUUAGGGAAGAACAAGUGCUAGUUGAAUAAGCUGGCACCUUGACGGUACCUAACCAGAAAGCCACGGCUAACUACGUGCCAGCCGCCGCAGUAA